rnacentral:rRNA from 1 species
GACGAACGCUGGCGGCGUGCUUAACACAUGCAAGUCGAACGAUGAAGGAGAGCUUGCUCUCCGGAUUAGUGGCGAACGGGUGAGUAACACGUGACUAACCUGCCCCUUUCUCUGGGAUAACGCUCCGAAAGGAGUGCUAAUACCGGAUACGAACUCUGAACACAUGUUCGGAGUUGGAAAGUUUUUCGGAAAGGGAUGGAGUCGCGGCCUAUCAGCUUGUUGGUGAGGUAACGGCUCACCAAGGCGACGACGGGUAGCCGGCCUGAGAGGGCGACCGGCCACAAUGGGCCGGAGACACGGCCCGGACUCCUACGGGAGGCAGCAGUGGGGAAUAUUGCACAAUGGGCGAAAGCCUGAUGCAGCGACGCCGCGUGGGGGAUGAAGGUCUUCGGAUUGUAAACCUCUUUCAGUAGGGACGAAGCGAAAGUGACGGUACCUAAAGAAGAAGCACCGGCUAACUACGUGCCAGCAGCCGCCGUAA